GCUGGGCAUGGUGACACAUGCCUGUAAUCCCAGCUACUCAGGAGGCUGAGGCAGGAGAAUUGCUUGAAUCUGGGAGGUGGAGGUUGCAGUAAGCAGUAAGCUGAGAUCCUGCUGCUGCACUCCAGCCCGGGUGACAGAGUGAGACCCUGUCUCAA
ensembl:misc_RNA Metazoa_SRP Metazoan signal recognition particle RNA